AGGCCAGACUCCUACGGGAGGCAGCAGUGGGGAAUAUUGCACAAUGGGGGAAACCCUGAUGCAGCGACGCCGCGUGAGCGAUGAAGUAUUUCGGUAUGUAAAUCUCUAUCAGCAGGGAAGAAAGAAAUGACGGUACCUGACUAAGAAGCCCCGGCUAACUACGUGCCAGCAGCCGCGGUAAUACGUAGGGGGCAAGCGUUAUCCGGAUUUACUGGGUGUAAAGGGAGCGUAGACGGCAGUGCAAGUCUGAAGUGAAAGGCGGGGGCCCAACCCCCGGACUGCUUUGGAAACUGUAUAGCUGGAGUGCAGGAGAGGGAAGUGGAAUUCCUAGUGUAGCGGUGAAAUGCGUAGAUAUCAGGAGGAACACCGGUGGCGAAGGCGGCCUGCUGGACUGCGACUGACGUUGAGGCCCGAAAGCGUGGGGAGCAAACAGGAUUAGAUACCCGAGUACCC
rnacentral:rRNA from 1 species